UCCAGGAGUACACAACGGGAAGGUUUUAUUGAAUUUUGACAGCUUGCUGCUUUUGUACAUUACAUUUUUGUACAUUACAUGGGUGAAACAUGAGGGGACUUUGUGAGGAGGAGGGUUUCUAAAGAGGUUCUGCCCAAGCUGAGCGCCUCUCUGGCACGGCAGGCUCCGAUAAAGCGCCAAGGCUGGGCCUGUCUACACACACACCCUGGCCUACAAACUGCAGCUGGCUGUAUUGCAGGGGCUGGGCUGACUGUGCCAGAGACUGGAUCUGGCUGAAGCAGACCUAGAUGCUGUUUGUGAAGCCUGUCUACCCUACCUGAGAUCCAGACAACCCAUCAGACUGCAAGAAGCCUGUUUAAGUGUGUUCCGACACUUAAUCCAGGUGGGUCCGGACACCUUCUGGUUUACUCUCAAUGAGCUGCACUGCCCGUCCUCUUACAUCCCACACCACCCCGACCUCCUGCUGAACG